rnacentral:rRNA from 1 species
UACGUAGGGGGCAAGCGUUGUCCGGAAUCAUUGGGCGUAAAGAGCGUGUAGGCGGCCCGAUAAGUCCGCUGUGAAAGUCCAGGGCUCAACCCUGGGAUGCCGGUGGAUACUGUCGGGCUCGAGUCCGGAAGAGGAGUGUGGAAUUCCUGGUGUAGCGGUGAAAUGCGUAGAGAUCGGGAGGAACACCAGAGGCGAAAGCGGCGACCUGGACAGGCACUGACACUCAACUACGAAAGCGUGGGGAGCAAACAGG